CCCUUAGAUGUCCGGGGCUGCACGCGCGCUACACUGAAGGAAUCAGCGUGCUAAAACCAUUGUCGAAAGGCAUUGGUAAACCCAUUAAAAUCCUACGUGAUUGGGAUCGGGAAUUGCAAUUAUUUCCCUUGAACGAGGAAUUCCCAGUAAGUGUGGGCCAUAAGCUCGCGUUGAUUACGUCCCUGCCCUUUGUACACACCGCCCGUCGCUGCCCGGGACUGAGCCGUUUCGAGAAAAGCGGGGACUGCUGCUGUCGGGGCUUUCGGGCCUUGGCUUCGGUGGAAACCGCUUUAAUCGCAGUGGCUUGAACCGGGCAAAAGUCGUAACA
rnacentral:rRNA from 1 species